rnacentral:tRNA from 1 species
GUCAGGAUAGCUCAGUAGGUAGAGCAGAGGACUGAAAAUC